rnacentral:precursor_RNA from 1 species
AGUGCCGGAAGAGCGGACGCCAAAACAAAGGCAAAGCCGAAGGCUCAGAACCUUGAAAAUUUUAUAGUUUUGAAAGCUAGUAUACACCUUAAGCGUUGCGGUAGUAAACAAUAAAAACCGAAGCUGAGGGUUAAAAAAAUCAGCGAAAAGAGCGUACACGAGUGAGAUUCACUCUUUGUACAAGGAAUC